rnacentral:lncRNA from 1 species
CCAGGUUCAGGCAAUUCUCCUGCCUCAGCCUCCUGAGUAGCUGGGAUUACAGGCACAUGCCACCAUGCCUGGCUAAUUCUUGUAUUUUUAGUAGAGACGAGGUUUCACCAUGUUGACCAGGCUGGUCGUGAACUCCUGACCUCAGGUGAUCCACCCACCUUGGCCUUCCAAAGUGCUAGGAUUACAGGCGUGAGCCACCACGCCCAGCCUACACAACCCUAUCCCCAAAUAAGAUCACAGUCUGGAGUACAGGAGGUUAGGACUUGAACACAUGAAUUGUGGGGCGUGAAAUUCAGCCCAUUAUUGGGGAUCCUGUAAAGCAAGGCCCUGCCAUGGGACCAGGCUUGGCAUGUUCUAGGAUGGGCAGCAAGGCUGGUGCGGCUGCACCAGGGAGCCAGGGGCAGGGAGCAGGAGGGUGGAGUGGGAAACGGAGGCGCUUCAUACAGGGCCUUGUUUAUUCCAAGUGCCGUGAGGGGCACGGCGGGUCUGAGAACUAACUUCCAUUUCUUCAAGAUCGUCUGGCCGCCGUGUGGAGAGUAACUGAGUGAGUCUGCAUUUGGAGUCCUCUGCACCAGAGAGGCUGAGGAGGCCCAGCAAGAACGCAGCGGGAGACACAAUGUCAGGACGGGUUCCAGACAUGAGCCGGAGGAGCAGGAGGGCCAUCGGGAUUUCUGGAGCUGGCUGCUCUGGGGGCCAAGGAGGAGAUCCACAGAGGGUCUGGCCAUCUGCCUGCACCCCAGAUGAGGACACUGAGGCCCAGGGAGAGGAGACCACACGCUGGAGUGUUGCAACAAGGGUGUGGGCACACAGGACCCAGUCCAGGACCGUGGACCCCCUGCUUGGGGCAGCCCCCAUGGUCCUGCGACCUGCUGCUGGCACACACCGUGAAGAGCAUGAUGGCAGCCUUUGUCCUCAUCAUCGAAACGCACGGGAAGCCUGUUCCCUUGUGUGCUCAGAACUGUGCUCAGCUCAGCUUCGCCUGCUCACUAAAACCUGUCAAGGAGGGACCAGGAGGAAGCUGUGGGUCAGAGGUGGCAUAUGA